AAUCAGUUGAGGAUAUGAUAAAAUGCGGCAGAGGAAUACAUUUGAAGAGGAAACUGUAUUGAAAUAUAAAACGGUAUCCAACCACCGCCACCCACAGCCGGCAGCACAAGAAACCACGCCACUGCUGUUUAACAAAUGAGAAACAGUUCUAGUCAAAAUAUGUAGUAAACGUAUAUCGAAAAAUUGUCUUUUAAAUCGUACGAAUUACAUAGUUUUGUGUAUAUAUUUUUAUAAGUAAAAUGAUGCUGUAUAUCGCGAA